rnacentral:tRNA from 2 species
CGAGGCGUAGCGCAGUUGGUAGCGCGCAGCGUUCGGGACGCUGAGGUCGUGGGUUCGAACCCCGUCGCCUCGACCA